AUGCCUCCCGGCGGCAGCGCGAUCCGCGUGCUGAACGUGGCGGAGAAGCCGUCGGUGGCCAAGUCCGUGGCGGAGAUCCUGUCGCGCGGGGGAAUGCAGUCGCGGGCGGGCCGGUCCCGCUACAACCGCGUCUUCGAGUUCAACUACGCCAUCGGCGCCCAGGCCUGCCACAUGCUCGUCACCUCCGUCACGGGCCACCUCAUGGAGCUCGACUUCGACGACCGCUACCGCCGCUGGUACUCCUGCGACCCCGCCGAGCUCUUCCACGCCCCCGUCCGCAAGGCCGUCCCCCAGGAUAAACAGGACAUAAAGAGAACAUUGGAAGAGGAAGCUAGGACCUGUCAAUGGCUUGUGUUAUGGCUUGAUUGUGAUAGAGAGGGUGAGAAUAUCGCAUAUGAAGUGGUUGACAUUUGUGCGGGCGCCAACCGUAAUCUAAACAUUUGGAGAGCUCGUUUCUCAGCUUUGAUUCCCAGGGAAAUACAUGAAGCUGUGCAACAUCUCGCCAGACCCAACAAGCUAUUUGCUGAUGCUGUGGAUGCAAGACAGGAAAUUGACCUUCGCAUAGGUGCCUCCUUCACUAGGUUUCAAACAAUGCUGCUAAAAGAUGCAUUUGUCCUUGAUGUCAGUGGGGAAGAAAGGAAUAUGGUUCUGAGCUAUGGUCCUUGCCAGUUUCCAACUCUAGGAUUUAUAGUUGAGCGUUUCUGGGAGAUACAAGCUCACGAACCUGAAGAGUUCUGGACAAUAAAUUGUUCUCACACUUCAGAUGAAGGCACCGCGUCGUUUAUUUGGAUACGUGGCCAUUUGUUUGAUUACUCAUCCGCUGUUGUGAUCUAUGAAAUGUGUGUCCAUGAACCAAUGGCAACAGUACAGAAUGUCAGGAAUCAGGAGAAACUAAAAUACCCUCCAUACCCACUAAGUACCGUGGAGCUUCAGAAACGUGCUUCUAGGUGCUGCAGAAUGAGUUCAGAGCACACAAUGAAGGUGGCUGAAGAACUUUACCAAGCUGGAUUCAUUAGUUAUCCCAGGACAGAGACUGAUAGUUUCUCUCCAAACACUGAUCUGCAUGCAAUUGUACGUGAACAAGUGGAUCAUCCUGAUUGGGGAACGUAUGCCCAACGUCUUCUGAAUCCUGAAGAAAGGCUCUGGAGAAAUCCCAGCAAUGGUGGUCAUGAUGACAAGGCACAUCCUCCUAUUCAUCCAACAAAGUUUUCGACUGGUGAAAACAACUGGUCUCCAGAUCACAAGAAAGUGUAUGAGCUAGUUGUUCGCCAUUUCCUUGCUUGUUGCUCCCAACCUGCAGUUGGAGCCGAGACAACUGUGGAAGUUGACAUUGCUGGUGAACAGUUCAAUGCAUCAGGGCGUGUCGUACUUGCUAAAAAUUACUUGGACGUUUAUCGUUAUGACUCAUGGGGUGGUUCAUUACUUCCAACAUACACCAUCGGACAGCAGUUUGUUCCGACGUCUUUAACACUUGAUUCAGGAGUAACUCGACCACCACCUCUUCUUGCUGAAGCUGACCUCCUUAGCUGCAUGGAUAAAGCAGGAAUCGGCACCGAUGCAACGAUGCAUGAACACAUAAAAAAGCUACUUGACCGUUGUUAUGCAACCAAAGAUGCAAAUUCACGUUUCUCCCCGACAAAUCUUGGGGAGGCGUUGGUAAUGGGUUAUGAUGAAAUGGGGUAUGAGCUUUGGAAACCUUAUUUAAGAGCAAUGAUGGAAGCUGACAUGAAAUCAGUUAGUGUCGGUACAAAGAGUAAAGCGCAAGUACUUGAGGGUUGUUUGCAGCAGAUGAAGGCUUGUUUUCUGGAUGCAAGGGCAAACAAAGUGAAGCUCCUUGAUGCAAUGGGAACAUUCUUUGCUAGGUCAAAUAGACCUAUCAACGAGACACAAAAUACCAUUGAAGUUGUAAGGCCCUGUGGUGCAUGCAACGACUCUGAAAUGUUGCUGAAGCGAAGGCCGAAUGGUGGUUUUAUGGUUGGCUGUCGGGGCUUUCCUCAGUGUAGAAAUGUAGUAUGGCUGCCCGGGUCCCUUGCAGAAGCUGCUGUGACGCAACAAAUUUGUCCUACCUGCGUUCCAGGUCCUGUUUAUAAGAUCCAAUUUAAGUUCAACCGAAGGGAUAUCCCACCAAGUUUCGAUGUUGAUCACCUAGGUUGCAUUGGUGGAUGUGACGAUGUACUCAAAGAGCUUACAGAGAUGAGUAGAUUUCAACAUCAUAACCAGACUACGACGCCAGCAAGAAGCCAAAGCCAGACUCAGACUACAUCCACGAGUGGUGUAAGGCAGGGGGCUCCAAGGCAGGAUUUACCUACUGGUUCUCGUUCAACGGGGCAAUUUGCUAACCAGCACACACCUGCUGUGAACCCCCAAGGGAGAGGUCAAAGCCAGACUCCAAGUGCUGUCGGAGUAAGGCAGGGGACUCCAAGGCAGGAUUUGCAUACUGUUUUUCGUACGGCCAGCCAGUUUGCUAAUGAGCAGCAGACACCUGGGGUGAAUCCACAAGGCUUUCGUUCGACCCACACGGGCCUUACCCAAAACUCAAGAAAUGCAUCAUCAUCAGGUGCAGGUCAAGUACUCUGCACUACAUGUGGAGAGGCCUGCAUAAAUCGAACGGCUAAUACAGAGGCGAACAGAGGGAGGAAGUUCUAUAAAUGUCAAAAUCCUGGAUGCGGCUUCUUUGUAUGGGAAGACGAGCUGGAUAACGUGGCGCCCAGGGGCCGUGGGCGCGGCAGCCGCGGUGGCGGCAGGCAAGCAUCUGCAUCGGCAGGUCGUAGAGGCGGCGGCCGAGGCAGGAGGGGCCGGGGCAACACCGACGCCGACGGCAUGACGUUCAUCUCAGCGACCGGCGACACCGUGCACGGCUGCUGCUUCACCUGCGGCGACCCUUCCCACUUCGCCAACGCAUGCCCGAACAGGGGGCGAUAG
rnacentral:rRNA from 1 species